CACGAUAUAAUUUGUUUUUAUGUUGCCGAAAUUGCAGUACGACGUGCAUUAGACACAGUUAACUUCAAAUUUUUGCAAUAUUGAAGAUCGCGAUGCAACCACAAUUUAAAAUGUACAAUUAUAGAAUUACUAAUUUUGGAAAAGAAAUAUAAAAAAGAGUGUGUAAAGUUAUUUACUUGUUGUAGGUUGGAAGCUGAUUGGUUCAAUUGAGGUUGAGGGUCGGUGACUAAUGUUGUUGGUGUUGCAUGUGAGAAGAAAACAAUGAUGGAGAAUGUGAAGAUUAAGGCAAGAGUUUUCAUGGUUUAGUAUCUACUUGUGACCUUUUUUUGUGCUUCACAAGAGAAGAAUGCUUCUAUCAUAGCAUUAGAAAGGCCAGGGGCAAUAUUUAAGAACAUCAUCAUAAUGC
rnacentral:lncRNA from 1 species